UAGAAUAACGGGGUUAUAUGGUUGCAAUAAUACGGACCGCAUUUUCCGGGUGCCCUGAUUGUCACACACAACAACCAAUAGAAUCAAAGGCGGGUGUUUAAAUGAAAAACAUCUGACCAAUAGGAAUGAGCUUCAGACACGUGGGCCGCCAACGUGACAACGUGAAACACUUGCGAGUAAACGCUGCGGAGUAUGACCGUUCAUGCUGUUUACUACAAUGUUUUGUUAAAUAUUUAAACAUAACUUUACCUGUUUAUGUUUCUGCAAAGUGUAACGCUGCUGAUUUGCACUCGUCACUGUAUGCGUUUUAUUUUAAAAGGGCAAUCAAAGUUGGGUUCCCCUGUCCUCCAGUCCAGCUGGGGGCGCUACUUGAACCACCUGGCACCUCACUGUCUUUGAACACAUAUUAGCAGAUAUAUAGUCCAGCAAUUUCAUCGUAUGUACAAGAUCUCUUAACCUUAUAUGUUUUUCAAGGUGGCUGUAGUGUAGCACAUCAACUAAUUUGGUGAUAGUAUUUUUCAUCAUCUAAGUCAGGCAUACAAGUAAAACCAUGCAUCUUAAUUGAAUGUUAUGUUAAUAUAAACAGCCAAUUCCCUUGACAAACUCUAGGUGGCCCUCUCAUAUGUAAAGGUCAUGCCCCGGUCAAAAGAGACCCCCGAGGAUGUCAGGAUGAGUAUUGUAAAUGCUCACGAGUCUGGAGAGGGUUAUAAAACCAUCGGCAAACGUUUUGGGAUUCAUCGGUCCACCGUACGACAAAUAGUCUAUAAGUGGAAAAAAUUCAAGACGACAGAGACUCUACCUAGAUGUGGACGUCCGACAAAGUUAUCCCAGAGAGCACUAAGGAAGAUCAUGCAGGAUGUGCAAAAGAACCCCAAGACCACAUCCAAGGAUCUGCAGGCCUCACUUGCUGCAGCUGACGUCUACGUUCAUGACUCGACUAUACGACGCAGGCUGAAUAGCAGAGACGUACGGCAAAGGUUAUUCAACAGGAAACCUUCACUCUCAAAGAAGAAUACUGACAUCAAGUUAGGAAAAACUUGCCAGCAUGACCUCAGCACAUGGAACAAGCAGGUAAAAGCUGGAGAAACCUUCCAAGAGUGUGAGCUGCUGGACCAGCCCAUCAGCGUGCAAAACACCUGUGAUGAAUACCAAGAGAAACUUGCAAAACAAGGUCCUGACUCAACAGCUUAGAAUCCACAGGUGGAGUUGUAUAAGAUAUAAAUUAAUCCUAUUGUGUAUCAGUGACCGAGGGAUGCAAUGUAUGACCCCUAAAGUUGCAAGUUGUCAUGGUAAACUCUGCUUUGUUCCAAGUAUAAUAUUAGUAAAUAAAUCAAUUUCAGAGAA